rnacentral:lncRNA from 1 species
AGAUCAUGUAUAUAUUUAUCACUUUUAGCUGACAGAUCCCUGAGUCAUCAGAAUCUCCAAAGUAGGCCUACUCUGUCUUAUUUUACAGUGAGCAUGCUGGAAGAAACCAAAAGCUUCCCAUCUUUAAAGUCAGGUUGUAUUUGAUGCAAAAUAUCAAACAAGAACAUGAGAGGUCUCUACAGGGGAGAAAGCUGAGGCUCAUCAAUGUACUGUGAAAGCUUUCCUGCCUGCUGCUCCCUGCUUGCUGUGCCUCUCUGCGUGCUCUCCCACCCACUGCACCAGGGCUGCUUCUCCAGAAAGGUCACUGCUUCUCCCUGCAGCUUCCCUGUGCUCAGAAGGCUGCAGCCAGAGUGAGGGAAAAGGUAGUCUGCCACCCUACUCCCCACUCCAUUUGGGUGGAAUGCAUGCAUAGAAUCUAUUCGUAAGGCUGAAACAAAUCGAUGCAGUCUUUGUCCCAUUGUAAUUAUCAUUAGCCCCAGUGUUAUUUUUGCACCGGUAAUUUAAUCACAGGAUAAGAAAUCUGUCCACAAUGUAAUUAAAAUGUAAAGAUAAUGAUAAAAAUAAAUUACUGCUUGUAACUUUGUAUAUAAAUACCAUGCAGGAGAUUAAAAUUAUAUCACUGUUUUUGCAGCGAAGUAAAAACACCUGCAAAGUUCAUGGCUGAGAAUUGUUGUGAAAAUAAGUUCUGUGUCUUAAUUCUACAAAAAUGGCACUAAUGGCAAAACCUGAAUCGUGACUGACUUCCCCUAAAUCUAGAAUUUCUUAAGUCUGUGUUAAAGAACACAACUUAGGAACAAUUAUUGACUGUUCCCUUUGCAGCAUAAAGACGGUUCAUCCUCUGAGUUUCCAAUUUGUGGCUUGUCUUCUGAUUUACUUUAAGGGUAUGUUACAUGUAGAUCAGCGUAUUUAGAUAAGGUGAACCUCUCAAGCAUUUUAAUUCUCAAGUAUUAAGUGAAGAAGUUUAGUUUAAUGGAAAAAUUUGAAACUAAGUCUUCUUCUAAGAAUGGUUUAAAAUCAGAAUAUCUGUAUACGAGAUAAAGCUUAUAUAUAGCUGAUCUUCACUGUGGGUAUUGAUGUAAUGACUUAGGGUACUAACAAAGAUCUGAUCUCUUUGAGAUCAGAUUUAACAAUUUAAAAUUAACAAAGGAGGGCUGACUGCACAGGUAUACU